rnacentral:lncRNA from 1 species
CUAAAUUGUUUUAAACAUAUUUUUUUUUUUUCUCGUUUUUUUUUACUUAUUGGGACUUAAGAAUAGAAUUCUCUAAGAUAUUAAUAGAAGGUUAAGUUCUCUUCUUCUCGACAAUUAUCGAGAUGAUUUAAAAACCGGGUUUUUUUUUUUUUUUUUUAAAUAAAAAGGUUAGGAUAACGAGCGUAGGGAAAAAUAUCCAAGUGUGUGUGUGUGAGCGAGAUGUAAAACAAGAAUAUAAAUUCUGGUUUGUCCGGUAGAGUUGAUUUCUUGUUCACCUCCCGACUCGUUCUUGUGCGGAGAAUAAAGUUUUUGGCAUCGUUUCUGACCUAAUUGCAUUGCCAAUGGAGAUCCCGUGAUCGAAAUGGAUCUCUUCCAAAAAGCCGGUGGAAGGGCCAACAGCGCCCUCUGAUGUCGAUAAUAGGCCGAAUCGUGACGUCACAGACGGUAGAAAAAAACGGAAAAAAAAAUUGUAAAUAUCAUCACACGUGAUUUUGCGAUCAAUGAGACGUUUCGGGAAUUUUUCCCCAACUCCAUUCGCGUUUGUUGGAGCUUAAGUGGAUAGACGAAGAAGAUGGAUGUCUUCAUAAAGGUGAGUGUCUUCUCUCUCUCUCUCCUUUACAAAUCGACUGUUUAAAUAUACAUAAGAAUUAUAGUUAAACGAUAGAAUUAAAUUUUCUUUCUGUCCCGUUCUCUAUUUUAUCUAUUGAAUAUUUAUUUCGUGAAAGAAUGCAAACACCGUAUAAAUUAUUUAUAUAAUGCGUCGAUAUAAAAACGAAAAAAAAUUUGUUCGAAUUAUAUAGAUAUUUUAACUUUUUUUUUAUAACGACAAAUACUACUUUUGGAACACUAAAAAGCGAUUUAAGAGAUGCGAUUUGAACGAGAAAAAUCGCUUUGGAAUUUCGAGGAUGGUGAUGGAAUGAUGCCACACGAAUCUGUGGCCUACAGAGCUGUUUUAAUGAUAAUUAUACAAUAUUUUCGGUUGACUUGUGACCUUUACAAGUCUCUCCACGCCUUCUCUGUGUUCACACGAAGCGAAUCCGGUAUAAUGAAGCAUAAACACGACAAAUAUCGCAUCCUUGUGGAUGUACGGCCAAAGACUACGAGUAAUUCGAUCCUAUCCUCUAAUUAAAGAAUUCUGACAGUGACUGUUCGAAAUAGCACCAAUUCCCGUAUAUACGGUUAGGUUUCAAUCAAUAGCGAAAACGGAAUAUUCAAUAUAACUCUCUCUACUAUACCGAGAAAUAAAAAAAAAAAUAAGUUGAUAAAUUACUGCAUAUGUUAUAGUUUAAUAGACAGUAACUGUAUUCGAUCAAAAAUGAAGAAAAUUCUUUAAAAUUAAAAAAAAAAGCACAACGAUCAUCAAGGUCAACUUCAGUACUAAGGUGAAACUUUAUCGUUGCAUACAAAUCUUCUUAAUUGGGGAGCCUGAGAUGAAUUUAUUUCCAGCGAAAUUUAUACUGGAGACGUAUCACUUAUUUGGAAAUAGAUGUCAAAAUAUAGCCAUAAAAAAUGUUUUGGAGUACUCACCGACUUUGUUGCAAUUUCUGUUGCAUCAUCACCAUCACCACCACCAUCAUCAUCAUCCUGGCUUCUGGAUUUAACACAACACUGCUGCAUAAUAUAACAGGAAAAAGAAAAUUAAUAUGCUUUUAAUCACGCAGUCAAUAUUUUAAUUUGUAUUUUCAUAUCGCAU